GGUUAAGUGUAUGAAUCUUACUAAUUUAGAGCUUUUCUUAAAGACUGGACAUUACGUCUAGGCGAAGCGCAUACGUAUAUGCAAAUUAAUUGUAAAACUUUUGUUAGGCAAAUGAACUACGCCCUAAAACCCGAUCCGACGGCGUCGUGUACUGUAGGCCUAUUAAUUUUGGUCAUUACGUUUUAUUGGUUUGGAUGGAGCUGACAUGAUUUGUCUCGAUUUGUUUUUGCCUUAGGGGCAAUAUCAACUUCAUCAUUUUGCUAUAAUUUUAGCAGACACAUAAUAUGGAUUUGUUUUAUCGACGAGCUAAUCAUAUUUUAUGCUGCUAUGUCAGGAAGGAGUUUUAGAUGAUUUCUUGGUGUAUUUCUUAACCCACAUACGUGGUAAGUCAAAAUUACUUCCUACUAGGAUAUUUCAAUAAUCUUUAAAACUAAGACGGAAAUUUGCACGAAAUAAGGUUUUAAGUUAAUUGCAGAAUAUGUGAAAGUUAUUUAAUGUUGAAUUUUGCAAAUUAAAACUAUUUAACAGAUUUUUGACAUUACGUCCGUUUAAUGGGUCUGUUUACAUACUAUGCCUGAACAUGUUGUGUGUUUAUCUAUAAGGGAUUGGCAUAAUUAAUUUGUAAUGUAUUUGUAAGAUUGAACGUAUUUUGAAAGAUUACUUUAUGGAUAAUUUUGAAAUGAAUUUCCAUCAAUCAAACAUGGACACUUAUUGACAACUAGUUAUGCAAAACUAAUUAAUGAAUCAAUUGCGUGAUUAGAUCAAUGUAUUAGAAGUGUGGUUCCAUGUUUACUAUUUAUUGUAGGGUUUUUGGUAUCGAGGUUCUAAAGGCAGAGCCGUAUCAACAGUGAGUACUGAGGGUGCUUACGGGAACUCCGGACGGGACAGAAGUCUCGGGAAUCGCCCUCCAGUGUGACGUCAUAGUGAUGAGUCAUCGAUGUUCGGAUUCGCCAUUGAUCGCGAUAAACUCGUCAGUUUUCUUCAAUGGGCCCCAACGAAAUGAUAACAGCUAAGGACUUUAUGUUAUUCGAAAUGAAAUUUCAUUAUGAAUUUAUUCGUUGAUGUUACGCCAUAUUAUUCACAGAAGUGAACGCAUUGAAUUUAAUUAUGAUUAAAGAUAUUUCAUUUGAUUUGUAAUUCCAAUCCAUUUUCUUUUUCGUGAUUUGUUGUGUAAACAGUACAUAGGCAAUUAUCUUUUCUCUAGAGUAUUUUUGUCCUUUGCUUUUGCACUGGGCUUGUGACAAAUGGGGGCAUGUCCUUGGGAUGAGAAAAAUAAUUAAUUGCAGUACUGUUCAUAACAAAUAGAAUUUAAAGAAUGGAUUUGGAAAAGUUUGUUGAAUUCGGUAAAGUGUGUGGACUAGCGGGUAAAGAAUUAUUAGAAUUUGCUUGUAAAGAACGUGACAAGGUUCUCGAAGAAAAGCGUAGAAACGAACAGAUAGAAAGAGAUGAACGAAGACUUAGGAGGGAAGAUGAUCAAAGAAGGUUAGAAGAGGUAACGAAACAAAAGGAGUUAGAUUUGAAGAUAAGUGAAAGUAGGAAAGUUAUUGGGACAUCGUCUGAGGGUCUUAGUAAAAUCCCCUGUAUGCCAGCGUUCCGAGACAAAACGGAUGAACUAGAUGCGUACAUAGACCGUUUUGAACGGCACGCGACUUUGAGUAAAUGGCCAAAGGAUUGUUGGGCGUCUGCUCUAGGCAACUUGUUGACAGGUCCCGCCCUAGAUGUAUAUUGUUCAAUAAGCGCAGAGGAGGCAACCGAUUACGAUCUCCUUAAGAACAUGCUAUUGCAAUACUUUGCUCUUACGAGUGAAGGAAAUUGGAAACGCUUUCGCGAAGCGAAGAAAGGCGGAGAAGAAUCUUAUUACCAAUAUGCUAACCGUUUGAUUCGUUACGUCACGCGCUGCAUUGAUUUGAGCGGCAAAGAAAAGACAUUUGAUGCGUUGUUGGAUGUAAUAGUUCGUGAACAUAUUUACGAGACCUCUGAGCGUUCAUUGUCAGUAUUUAUGCGGGAGAGAAAUCCCGAAAACGUUCCAGAGCUAAUUUUGCUAGCUGAGCAAUAUAGGAGUGCGCAUGUGUCAGCUACAACUGACUCCGGUAGACGCGCACGCCGUGAAGAAAAUGCUCGCAAAUUGAGAGAUGGUAAAAGUAAGGACCGAAGCGACAUAAGUCCUAAUCCAAAAGCUUGCUAUACUUGCGGUAAAUCAGGUCAUUUUAUGGCCAGGUGUCCAAACAAAAAGGGCAGUAAUUCGAGAGACGGGUCAGGCAAGUUAAGCUCGGAUUCGCGUAAGCAAUCUGUGAACGCAUGCGUAGUCGGAGUAUGCCCUGAUAUGUCAACACCGCAAACGCAAGGUGUUAGUCCCGAUUCAGCUACGGUAAAGCUGCAGUGUGGUCAUGAAAUUCCGUUGCUUUAUACGGCUUGUACAGUAGAAUCAGAUAUGCCCACUUGUGAUGGCAGUAUAAAUGGCAAGAAAAUAACAGUCUUGCGCGAUUCAGGUUGUAGUUGCGUGAUUGUUCGUACGGAUUUAGUGAAGAAAGCUCAGUUUACAGGAAAAACAAAGCUAUGUAUGCUAAUUGACCGAACAAUUAGACGGAUGCCAGAGGCAAGGCUGUAUGUUAGUACCCCAUAUUUCCAAGGUAAUGUGACAGCAUUAUGUGUUGAUAACCCGUUGUACGAUUUAGUCAUCGGAAAUAUUACAGGUGCCAGGAAACCUGGAGAUGAGGAUCAGAACUGGACCUACACUAAGGCGAGUGACGGCGAGUCAUCCAUCAAGGAGGAUAGAUCCUCCUGUGACGGUGAUCCUGAUGACAUAAAGGAGACAACUGUAAGAGAGCAGAGUACGCCCUCAUCGUCGGAGGCCACAGAAGAUGAUCUGUCAGGCGUUACUCAAGUACCAGACGAAAAGAUACCGAAUGAUGUGUCCCAGCCGCACAACCAGGAUGAUGUCAUCAUUCAAGAGCAACCAAGUGAGUUGAUGAGUGAGUCAACUAUCAAUGAAGAGGUGGAACAAGGGGCAGGAGUGGAGACUCGAGGGACGAAGAGACGAAAGGAUCGGCCGUUCAUGAGUCUUGGAUCGUCAAAGCAGCCGGAGUGUAUCGCAACCCGUGAGGAUGUUAUUGCAGCACAGAAGGCAGAUGCAACGCUGAAGAAACUAAGAGAUUUAGCAGAAAAGGGUGAGUCAAAGCUUGUAGGGAAGAAUAGCGAAGUGAGAUUUUACUUCAAGAAUGGUCUUCUAUUCCGUGAAUACAGGUCACUAGGUAACACCCAGGGGAAGACGUUUACUCAACUGUUGGUACCCAAGCCGUUCAGAUCUCAAGUUCUUCGACUAGCUCAUGACUCUGCAUUAGCUGGACAUCUGAAGACAAGGAAGACGAAUGACAGGAUCCUGACGCAAUUCUUCUGGCCUGGACUACAAUCCGAUGUCAAGCGUUAUUGUGCUUCUUGCGACGCAUGUCAACGUACAAUGCCUAAAGGACGGAUUGGUAAGGUGCCACUCGUAAUUCCCCCUUUGAUAGAUACUUGUUUCAAACGAAUUGCAGUAGAUUUGAUAGGACCCCUAAAUCCCAUUACUGAUAGAGGGAAUAGGUAUAUCUUGACUGUAGUUGAUCUAGCUACUCGCUACCCUGAGGCAGUAGCCCUACCUCGAAUUGAAGCCGAGCGUGUGGCAGAGGCCCUAGUUGAAAUAUUUUCACGCUUAGGUGUACCUAAUCAAAUAUUGUCUGAUAAUGGUACUCAGUUUGUUUCGGGAGUUAUGAAAGAAGCUGCCCAAUUGUUAGGAGUUAGCCAGUUUCACACUACUCCUUACCAUCCAAUGGCUAAUGGAGCAUGUGAACGGUUCAAUGGGACCCUUAAGCAAAUGUUGCGUAGGAUGUGUCAGGAAUGUCCUAAAGAUUGGGAUAGAUACUUACCCGCGCUUCUGUUUGCGUAUCGUGAGGUUCCACAUGAGAGUCUUGGAUAUUCUCCAUUUGAAUUAAUGUAUGGGAGAACUGUCAGGGGACCCAUGACUAUUCUCAAGGAAUUAUGGUCUACAGAAGUCCCAGAAGAAGAAGUCAAAUCAGUUUAUCAGUAUGUCAUUGAUUUGCAGGAACGACUAGAGUCGACUUGUGAGCUCGCUAGGAAGGAGCUUACGAAGGCUUCAACGAAGUACAAGACACACUUCGACGUUAAGGCGAAGGAGAGGAGAUUUGAGUGUGGUGAUCAAGUUCUUCUACUUCUACCAACUAGCAGCAAUAAGCUACUCAUGCAUUGGAGAGGUCCUUAUGAGGUCGUGAAGAGGGUUGCUAGGAACAACUACAAGUUGAUGGUGAAUGGAAAAGAGAAGACUUAUCACGCCAAUCUACUGAAGAGGUAUGUUGAGAGGGAACAUGAAGAUGGUAGUCAAGAAGUUUCAGCCCCAGCUGAUCAAGUUGCUGCUAUCCAUAUUGUGGAUGAGGGUGACGAGAGUGAUAGUUCUGCGAGCAUUAUAUUCCCAGUAGUUGAGCAGACGGAAAGCAUCGAUGACGUGGAGUUUGGCGACGACGUACCCGUCGACAUGCGAACUCAGAUGCAGGCGCUCUUCCGGGAAUUCACAGACGUCAUGACCGAUGUCCCUGGGAAGACGGACAUCAUUAGUCAUUCGGUGGAGUUGACUUCGGCCGAACACAUCAGAUCACGCCCCUACCCAGUACCUCAAGCACUACGACAGACGAUUAGAGAGGAAGUAGAGACGAUGCUUAGGAUGGGAGUAAUCGAAAAGUCUACAUCGCCCUAUGCAUCACCUGUGGUAAUCGUCAAGAAAAAGGACGGGAAGAAUAGAUUCUGCGUUGACUAUAGGAAGAUCAACGCUAAAACAGUCAUCGACAACGAACCAAUUCCCAACAUAGAUCAGGUAAUCGCAGAUAUCGGAGAUGCCAAGUACUUCACUAAAAUUGACUUGUCAAAAGGAUAUUGGCAGAUACCAGUGGUCGAGGAGGACCGUGGGAAAACGGCGUUUGUAACUCCUGAUGGCCAGUACGAGUUUUUGGUACUUCCCUUUGGCAUGGUUAACGCCCCUGCUGUGUUUACCAGAAUGAUGAGGAAGGUGUUAGAUGAACUCCCUCACGUCCUUCAUUAUAUAGAUGACAUCCUCAUCUAUAGUUCAUCAUGGGAAGAGCAUCUGGAAGAUGUAAGGAGAGUCCUAUCACGAUUAAGGGAAAGUCAUCUCACUGCUCGACCGAGCAAGUGUCAUGCUGCAUGUAGCUCAGUAGAAUUUCUUGGACACAUCGUGGGACAAGGUGAAGUGAAACCUACGCCAGAGAAGAUCAAGCAAGUGUUGUCGUCAUCCCGACCGACAACAAAGAAGGAGGUAAGGUCAUUUCUUGGUCUAGUGGGGUACUACCGGAAAUUUAUCCCAAAUAUGGCCACCAUUGCUGCCCCUCUAUCCGAUCUCACGAAGAAAAAUAGUGCUACGAAAGUAAAGUGGGAGGAAGCGCAUGAACACGCUUUCCAAACACUUAAGAGCAGGCUGAGUCAUUUUCCUGUACUUAGAUUACCGGACAUCGAUAGCGAGUUCGUUGUGCGCACGGAUGCAUCUGAUGUUGGCAUCGGCGCCGUGUUGAUGCAAACUCAUGAAGAGAAAUUGUUUCCCAUUUGUUUUGCCAGUCGUAAGUUACUUGAUCGCGAACGCUUGUAUCCGAUAGUAGAGCGCGAGUGUCUUGCCUUAGCGUGGGCUGUUAAGAAGUUUGCCUACUUCUUACAUGGGAGGAAGUUCACGUUGCAGACGGACCACUUUCCUUUGGCAUACUUGUCGCAAGCGAGAUUGAAAAAUCUCAGAGUUUUACGGUGGGCGUUAGGCAUUACAGUCCUAUAAUUUCCAUGUUGAGGUUAUCAAGGGAUCUGAUAAUGUGGGAGCAGAUUUUCUCAGUAGAUGUCCCGAAGAUUGAAUGGUUCAUAAAAUAGAGUGAACUAACUUUUAUAAUUUGAUAACAUUGAAAAUCUCUAAAGCAGUAAUAUCAUUUUGGGUUGGCGGUUAUUUGUCAAGGUUAAGUGUAUGAAUCUUACUAAUUUAGAGCUUUUCUUAAAGACUGGACAUUACGUCUAGGCGAAGCGCAUACGUAUAUGCAAAUUAAUUGUAAAACUUUUGUUAGGCAAAUGAACUACGCCCUAAAACCCGAUCCGACGGCGUCGUGUACUGUAGGCCUAUUAAUUUUGGUCAUUACGUUUUAUUGGUUUGGAUGGAGCUGACAUGAUUUGUCUCGAUUUGUUUUUGCCUUAGGGGCAAUAUCAACUUCAUCAUUUUGCUAUAAUUUUAGCAGACACAUAAUAUGGAUUUGUUUUAUCGACGAGCUAAUCAUAUUUUAUGCUGCUAUGUCAGGAAGGAGUUUUAGAUGAUUUCUUGGUGUAUUUCUUAACCCACAUACGUGGGUUUUUGGUAUCGAGGUUCUAAAGGCAGAGCCGUAUCAACAGUGAGUACUGAGGGUGCUUACGGGAACUCCGGACGGGACAGAAGUCUCGGGAAUCGCCCUCCAGUGUGACGUCAUAGUGAUGAGUCAUCGAUGUUCGGAUUCGCCAUUGAUCGCGAUAAACUCGUCAGUUUUCUUCAAUGGGCCCCAACGAAAUGAUAACAGCUAAGGACUUUAUGUUAUUCGAAAUGAAAUUUCAUUAUGAAUUUAUUCGUUGAUGUUACGCCAUAUUAUUCACAGAAGUGAACGCAUUGAAUUUAAUUAUGAUUAAAGAUAUUUCAUUUGAUUUGUAAUUCCAA